UACUAACAGCAAUCCUCUUAUUGCCAAAAACAAUUAUCUCAGUUUUGUUGGGGUUUAAUUUAAGAAAAUCUUGGCUGAUCCAGUUAUGUAUCUGUUUUAGACAGUGGCACAACACCUUUUUACAAUUGAACUGUAGUCAUCUGGAGAUACUGCUAGAUAUAACUGUCAUCUGCAUAGCUAUAGUAUAGUCAAAAUUAAAGUUCUGAAGACCCAAGGGUAGCAUAUACAGGCUGAACAGGAGGGGUCCAAGAACUGAUCCUUGAGGGACCCCAUAGGUCAUUGCCAUUCGAUGAGAUUGAACACUUCCAGUCGUUACAAAAUAACUCCUUUCCUCCAGCUUCCAUGAAAAUUCAUCCCACAUUCCACAUCUCUUUGCUGAAGCCUGUGUCCACCUGCGCCCUAAGCCCUCCAGCCGAACCACCUCCUACCCCACCCCCUCCCCCCGGGUGAUUGACGACCAUCCUCGACGUGAGGUCUAGGGGGAGGGGGUUCCAGUACCUUGUCGACUGGGAAGGGUACGGGCCGGAGGAGUGUUCUUGGAUUUCCCGGAACCUCAUGCUCGAUCCUACUCUUUUGGACGACUUCUACAAGGCUCAACUGAGGAAGCCUGGCAGGACGCCGGGAGGCGUCCGUUGAGAGGGGGUUGCUGUCAUAUACUGCCCUGCAGUUCCAUUAUUGGAGCCGGGAGGGUGCUUUGUGUCCUCUCUCUCUCCCCCACCCCUCUCUGUUUUCAGCACCUGUCUUAAAUCAGCCUCAUCGCCACCGGUGUAUAUAAGCCUGCCUGUUCCAGGAAAUCCUCGCCUCCGUAUUGCAACCUCUCCUAGUGUGCUCACCUGUGUUCCUGACCCAUGUCCUUCCUGCCAUCAAGCCAGUCGCCUGUUCUGUCCACUGCCUACCAACUGUCCACGCCGCCGCCUGCCAACACAUCCAGAGCCACCUCCAUAACCUUUGCUCAAUAAACUGUUCAUCAUUUUACAUCUGCCUCCGCCUGCUCUUGGGUCCAGCUACUCCCCCCACGACAGACUGAACAAAAAUGUAAACAUUAAAAACGGAGAUACGUACAGUAUGUAGCGUGUUUUCUAACGUUGCUAGGCGUUGAAGCUUAUAAAAAGUAUUUAUAAAAAACAAGCGUGAGCUCUGUUGAUUUGUGAAAGCCACAAUCCCCAAUUAAAUUUAAAAUUAAAAACUAAAACAAAAUUUCCAGAGGAAAUUUGAGAAACUGGAAAGGUUUUUUUUUUACUUUCACCGAUCUCCCGACUGCAUCUCCGGAGCUCAGCCACAGUGAUCUUUGGGUUCUUCUUUACCUCUCUCACCAAGACUCUUCUUCCCUGAUUGCUCAGUUUGGCCGGACGGCCAACUCUAGGAAGGGUUCUGGUCAUCCCAAACGUCUUCCAUUUAAGGAUUAUGGAGGCCACUGUGCUCUUAGGAACCUUAAGUGCAGCACAAUAUUUUUUGUAACCUUGGUCAUAUCUGUGCAAUUCUGUCUCUGAACUUCAGGCAGUUCCUUUGACCUCAUGAUUCUCAUUUGCUCUGACAUGCACUGUGAGUUGUAAGAUCUUAUAUAGACAGGGGUGUGACUUUCCUAAUCAAGUCGAAUCAGUAUAAUCAAGCACAGCUGGACUCCAGUGAAGGUGUAGAACCAUUUUAAGGAUGAUCAGAAGAAAUGGACAGCACCUGAGUUAAAUAUGAGUGUCACAGCAAAGGGUCUGAAUACUGAUGGCUGUGUGAUAUUUCAGUUUUUCUAUUUUAAUAAAUCAGAAAAAAAAUCAAUUCUGGCAAUAUGGGGUGCUGUGUUUACAUUAAUGAGGAACAAAUGAACUUAAAUGAUUUUAGCAAAUGGCUGCAAUAUAACAAAGAGUUAAAAAUUUAAGGGGGUCUGAAUACUUUCCGUACCCACUGUAUAAUGUAUAGUAUAAAUUAGCUAGUUAGGAAAUAAAAACGAUACAAUUAUAAGCAGUCAUUGAAAUUGCAUAUCUACACUACAUUUAAUCAACAGUCACACGCAAAAAGGUCCAGUGUGCAUAUUUAUUUCUCUACAGUAUCUUUAAAGUCUGCAGACAUUAUGAGCACAAAUAACAGUUAAUUGGCAACACAAGAGAAGUCGUUACUUGUGCUCAUCUGAACAGCAGACGCUUGCAUAUCAAAAUAAAGGCCCCCCGUUCAA